rnacentral:lncRNA from 1 species
UUUAAUACCAUGUUGUUAGUUGUCACACCUGGUUACCGUGGUUUACAUCAGCUACGUCGUGUGAUGUCUCAUGGAAAUUGGCAGCGGCUGGGGAAAUGUUAAAUAAGUGCAGGCAAACCCUGCACUGGCCAUUUUUUUCAGUCUCUGGGGCUGGAGGUUCCCGAGCAGGGGAGUGUCUGGGGGCUCGCCUGGGGCAGGCACUGCCAGCAUGGGCUGGGCUCUUCCCGUGGUGGCUGGGGACCGGUGCAUGGUGCCUGGUGGCCAGCAGUGUCCAGAGCUCGGGCCCGGAGUAGGAAGAGUCCUGCUGUACCGCCAGCAUCAGCAGGAAGCGAGCUGGUUUGUUCCUGUACCGCAGCAGUCUGGUUUGGGCAAUGUGUUUCCCCCCGUGGUGCAGUGGCUGCAGAACCGCGCUGACAUCUCCGUCCUGCUCUCCAUGUCCUCGCGCAGCUCAACAGCUCGUGCUCUCGCCCUCGCUGCAAAAGGCUGCUUCGUCUUCUGUCUCCUCCCGAGGAGCAGGCACCGUGUCCAGCUGGCCAGUCCUCUGGAGCAGAGGUGCCCUCCUUACCACGGCAUACAACAGACGUGUCAGAAAGCCACAGCACUGCGUCUGCAGCUCUAA